GUGAGUGGUCAUGAGUACUGCAAUUAAACACCAGUUCGCAUGAUAAUGGGAGCUUAGGUAGUCUAAACACCUAUCCUAAGUUAUAAAGUAAGUGCUUAUGUCUAUGUGAGCUAUGAUAACAUGUGAAAUAUACUGUGCGAGCUUGGCUAUGAUUAUGCGAACUAUGUUUUAUUUAUGUGAGCUAUGUUAUUGUGCAAUUUAUGCUAUUUGCAAACCAUUAUAUGCAAGCUAUCUCUAUUGCGAUCUAUGUGUAUUGCAAACUAUGCCUUAUUGCGAACUAUGUGAAAUACGAGCUAUACACUAUAAACGGUGCUAGUUUAUGAGCUCUGCUAAGUUGUGAGCUAUAUUAAUUGUAAACUGUGAAUGCGUUAAAAGUGAUAUGUUGGCAUUGUGAACCCUUGAAAUUGUUGGAUAUCAUUGGCAUGCAAUAGGAUUGUGAGUACUCACCUUUAUUGUUGUGAUAGGGUAUUAUGGCAUGAAGAUAGCGUUGGAGAGAAAGGAAAUGUUGAGUUAAGCUCCAUUCACCGAAGAUAGUGUGGUGUGUUUGGAGAGUGUUAGCACUCGUGCUACACUUAUUAUAGAUAGAGUAGGACUCUUUGAAUUAUUUGGUGUUUCUAGAUAUCCGUUUAUCCAGUGAAUAUGAUUUAUGAUUAUGUUUCAUCGUCACAAAUUGUCAAUAUAUCAGUACAAUGCAUUAUGAAUAUGAUAUGUACUAUACUAUAUACAUGCUUCUAAGUCACAGUAUGCUAUUAGGUUUCCUAAAGGUUAUGUGAACUGCUUAUUUACACACUAUGACCAGAUUAGAAUGUAUGUGAAUUGUAACAUCCUAUUUUCAGUAAAAUCAAAAUAGUGAUUUUGGGACCACAAAUUUGAUGAGUAAAUUAAUAUUUUAUUUUUAUUUUAAUAUCUAUGGGACAUUAGUAAGGUCAUGUGAAAAUUUCGUUAAGAAAUUUUGGCUUUUGCAUGUUUAAUUUCGUAAAAAGGACUAAAUUGUAAAAGGUGUAAAAGUGGAGUUCUAUUAGUUAAAGGUGUCAAAUAGCUAUGUAAUUUAAAGUUGAAUGGACUUAGAUGGUAAUUAUACCAUUUUUAAUGUUAGUGGAUAUUCAUGGCAAGGUUUUGUUGUAAAUUUUAAUUAAUAAUAAGGCUAAAAUGGUAAUUAGAGAAUUAAAAUCAAAAUUAAGUAAGAAAAGAUGAAAUAAUGUUAUCAUCUUUUCAUUUUCUUCUUAUUGUUGACCGAAUUCACCAUUGAAGGAGGGAGAAAGCUUUAUUUUGAAUUCCAUUUGCAUGCAAUGAUUUUUAAGCCUGUUUUUAAUGAUUUUUAUGUUUUCGAGGUCGUAGCUUAAUCUAGCUAGUAUGGGGAUCAAUUUGUAAAAUUGUUAAAGAAUUAGGAUUGUCCCAUGAAUGCUAUUGCAUGAUUCUUGAUAUUUUAUAAAGGAUUAUGAGUCCUUGUUGUUAUAUAAACUAGUUUUGUAAAGUGAUUUUUGAUGAAAAUUGUAUUUAGGGACUUAUUUGUAAAAGUAGUA
rnacentral:lncRNA from 1 species